AGUUAGCUGAAAUAAUUUCAUAAAUAUAUACAUUUUUUUAAUUUUGUUUUGACCGUGCUGAAGUAAAUUUGAUUGCAGUGCGCAUUUAUAAUCACCAUAUUAUAUUUGGUUAAAAUAAUUUUAUGAAAAAAAAAAACUCUGAAGGCUCAGAUCUGGAAAUAUAUCAGGCAAGGAGAGACACCGCCGCCAUGGCUGCAAAACCCAGAUCCAUGAGCAGAGCAUGCAAUCCGGGUUCGCCCCGCCAAGAUACGGGUCGGAUCUAUCUCCAAUGCCCGACCCAACUCUAAGAAAAUUCAUCAUCACAGCCUCCAGUCCCACACCUAUUUCCACAAGGUCCCCGGUUCGAAUCCAGAAGCAAAAAGCCAGAGUACAAUGGCGGUGGUGGUUGUAAUUAAAAUUGGUGAUGAUGAUUGAUGAUAAUGGCGAUCAGAUAUUUCAUAUAUCCAAAUCCCAACCACUCACCAUAUUCUCGCACACAGACAGUCACACACAAGGAUCCGACCCGAAAUGACACAGGGAUCCGACCCGGAAUGACUGUUUGUUUGCAGAGAAGAAAAAAAAAGGGCUGUUGAUUAUUUUAUGGUGAAUUUAAAAAUGAAAUCACAGGCAAGAAGGAAAGGAGCAACCACCCUUAGAAACAAUCAUCUCUCUCUUCGCCUCAUUCAUCAGUUGGGUUUUCUUUCAUUCUUUGCAUCUCUCUCUCUCUCUCUACAUAUCAACAGAUUUAUUUAUCGAUAAAUAAAUAAAUAUUUGUACUGGCUUUCUUCCCUUUUUGCCCUCACCUUCACUACUCUUCGAAUCAAGAUGCGAGGGUAUCCUGGUAAUAACAAUUAUUCUUUUCACUGCAUUGUAAGGGGUUUGAACGGGUCGGUAUGGUUCGGUUUUUGCAAUAAACCAAACACGUACCGAUAAUAUCGGUUUUUCAUAUUUUAAAACUGUGUAUGUCGGUGUUUUUUUUCAGUUCGGUACUAAUCGGUUUUCGGUGAACGGUAUCGGUAUCAAUUCGG
rnacentral:lncRNA from 1 species